GUCUAAGGGUAGAAUCCCUCAAAACUCAGCGCCCGACCCCGAUCGAACCCUCAUUCUGCGCUGGCUACUUCCCCUAUUUCUCCUCUCCGGCUUCCGUCUUCCUCCUCUCCGGCACUGCCCUAGUCAACCGUCUUCCUCCUCUCCGGUGCCGACCGUCGGAUUCCAAGCCUCCUCUCCUCCUCCCUCCUCUCCGGCGCCGACCGACCAACCCCGAUCUCUUCCACCUGAGGUAUUUUUCUCCUCCUCCCUCUUCUCCCUCCUUCUCGCUUGUUCUCCUCCUUCUCCGCCUCUUCUUGUUCGUGUGUUCGUGGGUGUUUUUCUCUUUUUUUACAGAUUCUCUAGCUUUGCCUCCGCCCGAGGAUCUCCUCCUCCUCCCUCCUCUCCGGCGCCGUCCGAGCAUCAGCAAAAGAAGUUACGGGCAGCUGGGAGUCGUUGUCCGCCACCGACUCCCGAUUAAGGGGCUGCCGCUUUCAGCAAAAAAAAGAAAAAAAAUAAGGGGCUGCUGCUGGGUACGAGAUCGCGCGGCCCGUGGAACCGCAGGCGGUCAGAUCUGGAUCUCGCUCGGAAGCAGCAGUCCAAAGCGCGUCGUUCGGGCUUCGCCUAUAAAUUGGGGGUUCCUCCUCCCCAACUCCCGUGUCCACUCCGAGGCCGGGAACAAAGCGCCAAAGAUUCUUCUCGCAUCUUACCCCAGAGGGAUGAAGGUGAGCUGGUGAGGUCCGCUGCUGUUCGGUUGGUCAGUAAGUGCGGCCAGAUGUUUGCAGCGAGCAAAGAGAGAACAGCAAACACUGAGAGAAUUGAUGUGAUCUUUGUUCAGGUUUGUACCUACUAUAACUACUCUCACAGGGAGCUUUAGAAGCAUGAGGGCUUGGAUUCCCAAGCACCAAUCAAUGCAACUUAAAAACACAAAAACAACUCAGAUUCAGCAUAUCAAUGGACUUCCCAAAGACUGGGAGGAGAAAAGGAAUAGAGCCUGUCAACUCGUCUCAAGAGUUCCAUACUACAACAAUGUUACAAGGCGAUAUGAACUCGAUUUCAGAGAGAGGGCAGGAAGAACAGGUCCCAGAAUUCAGGCGUUAGCGAAAAAUUUUCAGCUGAUCAUGGAGGAGAAAGGAAGACAAACAAUUCUACAACUUGGUAGGAUUGGGAAGUCGAAGUAUCUAAUGGAUUAUAGAUACCCCUUGACUGGUUACCAAGCAUUUUGCAUUUGUCUGCAGAUUAAUAUCAACUGAUACGGAGGCUUGGGAAAUGGACACGUUGAGAGGGCACACGAGCAAUGUAUCCUGUGUUAUAUUCCAUACGAGGCAAGGCAUCAUUGUGUCCAACUCCGAGGAUAGAAGCAUUUGCAUUUGGGAUGCUACAAAGCGUACCGCUCUUCAGACAUUUCGGCGUGAACACGACCGUUUCUGGAUUCUCGCUGCACAUCCGGAGAUGAAGCAUUUGAGACCCUUCAAGAAUGCUGAUAUAGCUUCGGGGUUGUCCUUCUUGAGCUCUUAAUAGGACGCCGGUAUGUGGACAAGACUCGCCCGAGCAAGCAGCAGAGCUUGGUUGACUGGGCUCGCCCCAAGCUUAAUGACAAUAUUGUAGAGAUGAUGAUGCCGACCCUUGAUACAUAUUGUAGAUUGUGUACUUAGGAAUUUGACUUGUAUGUUUUUAGAAUGUUUUUGAAGUACAAUGUAAUCAAAUAUGAUAAUAUGAAUGCAAUCAAAGUUCUUGUUUGU